AUUCUCCAGUAAAACCCUCAUCAAGUAAAAAGCAUGCAGACUGUUCCAGUAAAAUAUCUAAAUCAAGCAAACAGAAGUGGGCUGACAUGGCUUCCUCUUCUUCAUCAACAUCAUUCCCACUAUCCUCCAACGAAGAUAGUGAUGAUGAGGCUUUUGAAUCCAUUAUAGUCAAAAGUAAAGCUGAUAAGGCAAAAGAAAAAUUAAAGCAAAAAAGCAAAAUAAAGAAAAAAGAAAAGAAAAAGAAGGACACAUCGUCCUCAUCUGAGUAAAAGGCAGGUGAAACCUUAUUUCACCAUCAUUCAAUAGUAAAAGUUAAAUU
rnacentral:lncRNA from 1 species